UACGUAGGGUGCAAGCGUUGUCCGGAAUUAUUGGGCGUAAAGAGCUUGUAGGCGGUUUGUCGCGUCUGCUGUGAAAAUCCAGGGCUUAACCCUGGACCUGCAUCGGGUACGGGCAGACUAGAGUGCGGUAGGGGAGAUCGGAAUUCCUGGUGUAGCGGUGAAAUGCGCAGAUAUCAGGAGGAACACCGGUGGCGAAGGCGGAUCUCUGGGCCGUAACUGACGCUGAGGAGCGAAAGCAUGGGGAGCGAACAGG
rnacentral:rRNA from 1 species